rnacentral:misc_RNA from 1 species
CUGGUACACUGCACUGCACUUCGUUCAGUGAGAUUGUGCUAUUGCUGCGGUCAUCUGACUCAUUGGUCCAUGAUCUGUGCCAUGCAUACGAUUCAUGCAGUGAAAAAACCUUGUCCCCCUAGUUUCUUCCUUGCACACCUCAAGUGGUAUUCCUCUUUGUUGCCCUAGAUGGAAUUCCGUUCCUUUGUUUGGGGUCAUCACCGAGUUGGAAUCUCAAAG